rnacentral:misc_RNA from 1 species
AACAAGGCGUACCUGCGGACCUGCGGAGGGAUCAUUACCGAGUGUGAACCCCCCCGUAAAAAAGAGGGGUUACCUCCCGUCCUUUGCUGGGAACCCCUUUCCAACUUGGAAGGAGGUUGUUUUCAGACCCUUCUGCUUCGGUGGGGUAACCCACCGGAACAACCUCAAAAAUAUUCUCAAUUCAAAACCGUUCAGUCCGAGAACUUUUUUGAAAAGCGAAAAAACUUUUAACAAUGGAUC